CAGCAGCCACGGUAAUACGUAGGGUGCAAGCGUUAAUCGGAAUUACUGGGCGUAAAGCGUGCGCAGGCGGUUUGUUAAGACAGAUGUGAAAUCCCCGGGCUCAACCUGGGAACUGCAUUUGUGACUGGCAGGCUAGAGUGUGGCAGAGGGGGGUGGAAUUCCGCGUGUAGCAGUGAAAUGCGUAGAUAUGUGGAGGAACACCGAUGGCGAAGGCAAUCCCCUAGACCUGUACUGACGCUCAUGCACGAAAGCGUGGGGAGCAAACAGGAUUAGAUACCCGCGUAGUCCCUGUCUCUUAUAC
rnacentral:rRNA from 1 species